UUUUUAAGAUAUAUUCAUUUUUUGGUUUUUGUUAUUUGAAUUUGGUUUAUUUGAUUGUUUUGUGUUUAUAAAGUUAUUCUCUCGUUCUCUACGUUUAUCUCAUUUUGUGUGGUCACGACUUCAUGAACCUGGUGUUAAUAUUUCUGUGACAUUAAAUUGAAAAAACAAUUAAAGUACCUCAAUUUCAUGUACAAAGUCUUCAUAUUUUAGAAAAACAUCAAACAAUCCAAAUUUCCGAUUCUUAGCUCUCCCAUCUUUAUCUUUAACUUUUAUACUUUUAUUUUGUUAUUAUGUGACUGAUUCUUUGCCCUAAGCCUUAUUUUUGUUAUUAUGUGAAGUUUUAAGUCUAAUUUAUGUGCUUUAUAUAUGUUAAUAUGCAAGUAAAUUGAAAGAGACUUAAUCUUAUGCGGAAAAUAAAUAAGAAAACAAAGAUCAAUUGAUGGUUAUGAGGCUGAUAUGGUAAGAGUUAUGAUUUUAACAUGGUUCUCAAUUUUAGAAACAAUCUGAAAAGCCUAUCUUCUUUGAAAAAGCGAGGGAUUACCAUUUGUUAAUGUACUUAACCUUUGUUUCCAAUAAUUAAGAAGAGAAAAUUGAGGUAUAUUGGACCUCAAUAAACGAAGGUUGAUUAUAGGGAAAGGAGUGGGAUUGCAUGGAUAGAGAUUUUGAGCUUAUGUCACCAUUAGGUGGCUUUAAAAUGAAGGGUUAUGCAACCCCAUUAGAUAUUGAUCAACCAAUUGAUCCAAAUGAAACCCAAUAUUGUGUCUCAUCAGGAGUCCUUCGGUGAUAUGAUUGCUUUUGACAAUAACAAUGUUUAGACCACUUAGCAACUAUAGUUUCUUUUAACAAUCAGGUAAGUUUCAUUUGUACAAUUUUAUCUAUUGUCAGUAUCUGUGUCUUUGUCUUAACUUCAACUGAUGGAGCUUCAAUUACAAGAGUGAGUAACAUUAACAUGUAUCUCUUUUCAUGUUUACAUUUAAUAUUCAGUGUCAAUUUAAUUAUAUACUAAAAUAGAGGAAAAUAGGCUAUCCCAAAGUUAUACUUUUUUUUUAAAGAUAUUGAAAACAGGGAAGAAAAAGAUGGGAGAAUACUAAGAAGAAAAAGAAAACUUAUACAACGUUAGAGGGUAUGAAGAAGGCAAGGAGCAAGGUGAACAGAACAAAAAUGUUAGAGAUGUAAUUCUUAGUUUAUGUGUAAAGUCUUAUCAUCCCUAAUAAAUAAAUAACUUUUUGCCACAUGUCUUCUUCUCCUUCGUUAGUAUACAUGACAUUUUCUAGAAUUUUUGAAUUUUCUAUUUUCCACAUGUCAUUUUAUUAUA